rnacentral:rRNA from 1 species
GACGAACGCUGGCGGCGUGCUUAACACAUGCAAGUCGAACGGAAAGGCCCUGCUUUUGUGGGGUGCUCGAGUGGCGAACGGGUGAGUAACACGUGAGUAACCUGCCCUUGACUUUGGGAUAACUUCAGGAAACUGGGGCUAAUACCGGAUAGGAGCUCCUGCUGCAUGGUGGGGGUUGGAAAGUUUCGGCGGUUGGGGAUGGACUCGCGGCUUAUCAGCUUGUUGGUGGGGUAGUGGCUUACCAAGGCUUUGACGGGUAGCCGGCCUGAGAGGGUGACCGGCCACAUUGGGACUGAGAUACGGCCCAGACUCCUACGGGAGGCAGCAGUGGGGAAUAUUGCACAAUGGGCGGAAGCCUGAUGCAGCGACGCCGCGUGAGGGAUGACGGCCUUCGGGUUGUAAACCUCUUUCAGCAGGAACGAAGCGUAAGUGACGGUACCUGCAGAAGAAGCACCGGCUAACUAUGUG